rnacentral:tmRNA from 1 species
CCCCUUUUCUCAGGCGGUCGAAACGCCUAUAUGAGCCUUGCCGGGGCAACCCGGCUAUGGCGAUAAACGGUCGGUGUAAUAAACCUAUUGGACCCGGGGGCGGUACCCGGCGCCUCCACCAAAAACCGGCGGACUUUCAUGAAAAGAAGGCCGGCUUUUGAUGGGGGCGAAACAGGAUCGACAAGGGCGUAAAGAUCGAACUUUUGCUCGGCAUGAUACCGCCGUUAUCGGGUCACAAGUGUAGUUGCAAACGACAACAACGCUAAGGAAUAUGCUCUCGCUGCCUAAUGGCGGUGCGGGAAUUCCGCUCUAAAGUCCUCACGGUUAGCCCCGUGAGGCGGGGUUCGGAGGUACCUGGCAACAGAAACCUCCACC